GAUUUGAGCACUGAAAACCACGCCCAAUUUUAGACAAAAGUUUCUGAAAUAUUCUUUAUUUGGAACAAUAUAUGAGCUAAUUCCCACAAAAUCUCAGACAUCUGGACUUAAGUAAAUGUUCUGGGUGUCCAGUGGUCUGGGAAAUAACAAAAUAUUCCCUCCAAAUUAGUCAAUUUAUGUUUCAAUAAUUCUGCAUAGUAGUCUCCAAAAUCUCAGUAGCUUUCAACACCAGCAUUUUUUUUUCCGUUUCUUUUUUUUUUUUUUUUUUGGUACACAGAUCUGUGGAGUGGCUGCAGCACCUGUGUUUCAGCCUGAAGAAUGGGCACAGAUAUUUCAUGAUUCUGAAGAAGAAUUGGAGGUGAGACUUGAGAAAAUGGAGAAAAAGAUAUGCUUUGGAUUUUCUUGAAGACUAGAAGCUUUCUUAACCAUCCACCACCUUGUUGACUGGUUAUUAUUCUCUCUACCUUCUGUGAAACAAACUGAUGGAUACUAAUGGCACAAUUACACUUAUAGCUAGUCAGUUGCAUAGUUUAUGCACAUAGUUCUGCUUCCAGUGUUUAGUAAUGAGUUAAACAUUUUGGCUAUAUUUGUCUCUGAAGCUAUAAUUUCAAUUAAUCAUUAUGUAUAGCAAUAAUAACAAGUAAAACAAAAAGAAGAAUUUUUUGUUUCUAUGGUAAUUAUGUUGGGUGCUUUGGAUCCUCCCAAUAAAGUUGACUUCCUAAAAUAAUUACACUUGAAUUAGGUAUAGAGAAGCUAAUUGUAACAAAUUGAAAGUUACUGUAAAUCUUCUAAUCGUAGUUCUCUGCAAGUGUACUUAAGUUAUUGCUCCACUUGAAAUAAAUGAAAACUGGAAAUCUGAGGUGAUGAAUUAUGGGUCCCUUUUAUGUAAGAAAGAUGACAAGGAAAUCUAAUCUGCUGAGUUAUACUAAAAUAAAAUACCUUGG
rnacentral:lncRNA from 10 species